rnacentral:tRNA from 1 species
GCCAAGGUGGCUCAGUUGGUAGAGCGGCGCACUCGUAAUGCGCAGGUCCGGGGUUCGAUUCCCCGCCUUGGCU